UACGGGGGGAGCAAGCGUUGUUCGGAUUUACUGGGCGUAAAGGGCGCGUAGGCGGUCAGCACAAGUCAGUUGUGAAAUCUCCGGGCUUAACUCGGAAAUGGCAUUGGAAACUACCUUGCUGGAGGAUUUGAGGGGGGAUUGGAAUACUUGGUGUAGCAGUGAAAUGCGUAGAUAUCAAGUGGAACACCAGUGGCGAAGGCGAAUCCCUGGAAAAUACCUGACACUGAGGCACGAAAGCUAGGGGAGCAAACAGG
rnacentral:rRNA from 1 species